rnacentral:rRNA from 1 species
AGACGAACCGUACGAACGUUAUUCGGAAUCACUGGGCUUAAAGGGUGCGUAGGCGGCAUGGCAAGUUGGGUGUGAAAUCCCUCGGCUCAACCGAGGAAUGGUGCCCAAAACUGCCUUGCUUGAGGGAGAUAGAGGUGAGCGGAACUACGGGUGGAGCGGUGAAAUGCGUUGAUAUCCGUAGGAACACCGGUGGCGAAAGCGGCUCACUGGGUCUCUUCUGACGCUGAGGCACGAAAGCUAGGGUAGCGAACGGGAUUAGAAACCCGGGUAGUCC